CAAUAAUUUGAGCUGUGACUGUGCAACCAGCUUAAGAUUCAAAACUCAUUACCAGAUGUCGCUAGUGUCGCCCUUGUUGUUGUUACAUCGUGAAACGAGGCAAAAUAGGCGAAGCAAUUGGUUGCUAAUUUAUACUUAUAUUCCUGUGAUUUCAUUUACCAAAUUGAACUUCGUAACUCGUAUGCAUACUGUCACUGUCAGUUAUUCCAACAAGUUGACUUAGCGCUCAGUCACUUUCCAUCCAUUAGACCUAUCAUGCUGUCAAAAGCCUAAAACUAAUGUUUGAAGCUCACAUAUAGUGGAAUACAAAUCUUGUUGAGUUAAGGACUUUCCUGAGUCUCUCAAUUUUGGUGGUGUAACCUGCAACAUUAUGUUUUCUCUUAUGGCUGUUUUCUACUUCUGUAUAGAAGGCAACCCAGCUGAGACUGAGAGAGUUUGUGAAGUGAAUAACCUGCCUGCCAUGUGUAUGUGUAUGUACAUAUACCAGAUCUGCUUGAUGAAAGUCAAAUGCCUUACUAUAUUCAUCACCCAUAUGAUAAGCAUCAGGAAAUUAAUCAUAUGGAGUAAUGCUGUUGGUCGUAUGG